AUUGAACGCUGGCGGCAUGCCUAACACAUGCAAGUCGAACGGAUUAUGGAGCUUGCUUCAUAGAUAGUGGCGGACGGGUGAGUAAUAUGUAGGAAUCUGCCUUGAGGAGGGGGAUAACUUGGGGAAACUCAAGCUAAUACCGCGUAAGUCGGAGACGAGAAAGCAGGGGACCGAAAGGCCUUGCGCCUUAAGAUGAGCCUACAUCGGAUUAGCUAGUUGGUGGGGUAAAGGCCUACCAAGGCGAUGAUCCGUAGCUGGUCUGAGAGGAUGACCAGCCACACGAGGACUGAGACACGGCCCAGACUCCUACGGGAGGCAGCAGUGGGGAAUAUUGGACAAUGGGGGAAACCCUGAUCCAGCAAUGCCGCGUGUGUGAAGAAGGCCUUCGGGUUGUAAAGCACUUUCAGUGGGGAAGAAGGAUGUAUGGUUAAUACCCAUGCAUUUUGACGUUAACCACAGAAGAAGCACCGGCUAACUCUGUGCCAGCCGCCGCGGUAA
rnacentral:rRNA from 1 species